ensembl:lncRNA
CUGUCUUCUCCCUGUUUGUGAGCGAGACUUCUGCUCCCCUCUCAUCCCCCACCUCCUGGGAUAUCGAGUUUGCUGCAUCCUCUUGGCUGUGGUCCCCUGCACACAGAUAAGCCCACCCCUGUACUCAGCCCUCCUAGCUGAACUCUGCUUCCUGCCUCCUCUAUUCACUCACCCCGUUAGUGUCGCUGCAGGCCCAGCAGGCAUCUUGUCUCUGUCCACUGCUGUCUCGAUGACGACUACAAUCGUGGCACCUCACUGAGCCAGGCAUGAGCCAUGUGCCAGCACAGUGAAAUGCUGACAGGAGCACCAGAGGGCUUCCCAAAGGCCCCAGAGGCUGCUGCACUGCUGCGCUCCCGCGUGCUCCAGCUCUCUGUUCCCCAGGGGUCGGAGCUGCUCUUGGUUCUCAGGGGCAGUUUACUGUCCCGUGCAGUCUGGUUGAACGGCCCCAGGGCAGCCACCCUGUGUUCUGUUUGCCGAGCGCGGAGCCUGGCCUCAGCGGAAAGGCUGUGUGCGCAUUCAGAGUGACGUGUUGGAAAGAACACUGGAUCCAGGAUUAGGAAGCUUGGAUGCCCGCCCCACGUCAGCCGCUAACUACCGGGCCAGAGCAGAGGAGUCAGUACACUACUGAGGCACAGGGUGGCCGCCCUGCUCUGUCCCACAUGGCCACCCGCCUCUGCAGCUGACCCACAGGGCUGCCCCGCCAGCAUCCGUGCCCUGAAAAGGUGGACUCAUCAGUUCCUGCCUUGGAAAAUUCCAGUUGGGGAUCACAGAAACCGAGCGAGCAGAGGACCAAAGUGAAAGCUCAUGAGGUGGGUGGCCAAGUGUGAGCAGAACUGAGGAGGAGGCUGGACAGAUGGAGGAGGGAGGGACGGGAGACUCUGGGGCCUUUGGGAGAGGGGACACAGAUGUGGUGACCCCAGACCCUCGGAGUUUCUGUUUCCUUUCCCAUUCACGUCUUGCUUGCCAAUAAAACCCCUUUUUCCUGAAGUGACUUGACUGCAUCUUUGUUCUUUGCUACCAGUAAAGCCCAGGAGGCAGAACCCAAGGGGGAGGUCGGCAGCAAGGGGAACCAAAGAAAAAAGGAAAAGAAAGGAAAAGGAACCCAACAUUUCCUGAGGACCUGCUCCGUGGCAGGCACCGCGCGGGGACACACGUGUGACGCUUGAGGUCCGGUUGAUCUGGGUGGGAGGACAGUCUCCGAAGAAAGGGUGAGGAAGAGCUGGAACUUGCACAAAGCAGGGGGGCCGAGAGGCAGGAGGCUGGGCCCCCAGGCGGGAUCAGCUCUCAGUCCUUUUGUCCGGCUCUUCCGGCUUCAAAGUGGCCGGGAGGAAUACAGUUUUUCAACCAAAAGCGAACAAAGAAUCACUGUGCACAAUAUAACUCUGUUGCCAGAAAGAGCAGGCUGAGCGGGUCAACACUGGCUGGCAUGCAUGUCAGGCUUCUGAGAGGAUGGGACAGCUGGCACACCUCUUCCACAGGCCCCGCCUGCCAGGGAGUUUCUGAUGGCGCUGAUAGAAAAUGCCCUGUGCUCGGCGGGCCCCUUUUGCCCCUUUUCACAAUCUUUCAGAGCUACCAGCUCAGGUGAUUUUCAAGCAUCUUGGACCCCCAUCUCCCCAGUCAUGCAAGUCUUGGGCUGAAAAACAGUCAUGUGAACAGGAACUAACAUCUUUCUCGGGCUUUGUGCCUGCCUCAGCCCCUGGGCAGGGCUCCUGGGUUUUCCCUUUGGGGCUGUUCCAGAAAAUGUCCUGCCUGAGCUCAGAAGCUGAGUCCUUGUCUCUCAGCUCCAGCUCUUUGAGGUGACGUCUGCAGCAGCUGCCCUGGUGCCUCCAAAGCUCAAGAACGUGCCCUGUCAAGGGGCCGAGGGAGGGACGGGGUGGGUAGGAUGUUGGCCAUGUGGGUACCGACUGCCACAGAUGGUGCGUGGCACCCUCCCCUGAGGGGACACAUCUGCCUCUGUCCAGGGCCAUGUGUCAGUUCCAACGCCGCUGGCCUUGGGCUCCUCAGGUCUCACCGGGACUCUUGGGCAAGUAGCCUUCUCUGAGUCUCCUGAGGUGCAAGCCCUCAGGGGCCAGGCUAGAGGCUGACCUGAGUGGUCAACGCCAGGUGUUCCCCUAGCUGUCCUUACUCUUUCCCUCCCCAGGAUUGUGCUCAUCACUCUCGGCAAAGACCAUCUAGCUUUUGUCUUGGGAUGAGUUCUUUCUCAAAAGAUGCCAGUGUACUCCUGGCGUCCCAGCCCUCAAGACGUGUCUGAAACUC